rnacentral:lncRNA from 1 species
CAGGAUGUCAUGAUAAAGUUAAGAAAGAUGAAAGUAGUAGGUAAAACGUUUCUACAAGUUAGAAUUACAUUUAACAUACCACAAAAAAUGUGUCUGGGCCUGGUAUAUAUAUAGUAUAUGUUACUAGCAAAAAUUAUAUGGCAUAAAGCGGGUAUCCGAGGCUAAGUUUUACUACUCUUAACUAAUUCCAAGUAAUUUUUAGGCUACCUACCCUUUUACCAAUGAUAUUCAUGCAGUUAUCGAAUAUGUAGUGCAGGAUGGGCAAGUUAUGCGGAAUGUCUCGUGUAGAUCAGAUGAAUGAGGGGAACAAGCAGAGUUGUCUGAAAUCAAACGGAGUUGAGAAAAGAGAAAAGGUAGUACUCAAAAGUCACGAGAAGAAUAUAUAUUUCUUAUUGAUAGUAAUAUAAUAUACUACAUUUUUUUUUUAAAUUUAUCAUUUCAUGCAUCAUAUAUACAACCACUAUUAAAUUAAAAAUUAAUUUUUUUAACAUAUAAAGAUCCAUGAAAUAGAAUAUAUAAAUAUAUAUGUCCUUAAUAUUUUAAAUUUUUUGCAUAUGAAAGUAUUUUUGUGGAAAAGGUGGGGAGUAAUGUACGUAGGAGUCAUAUUCAAAUGAGGAAUUAAGCUAUAUAUAUAAUUUUUUCUUUAAUUUUAUUGAUGUAGGGACAAGACCAUCUACUAGCUAGGGUGCUGAACGCAACUAUGUAUACAUGCCUGCCUCACAAAAUUCCAUACUUUGUUGAUAAAAGUUGUUUAAAUCCAGUGAUAAAACAAAUGGGAAAGCUACAAAUUCUUUCAUUAUCAUCCACAUGCAUGGCCAGUGGGCAUAGAAAAUGAGAGAUCACAUCACUUGAAGUAAAUUAAUAUGUAGAAUUAAAACCAUGGAUCCAAAUACAACUAGCACUACCCAAAAAAAUAAAAAAUAAAAGAAGGCCCCAAAGACCUUUUCGAUGGUUAGGCCAAUUUUAAUUAAGCCAUCAAAGAGGGACUUUUCUCCCCCCGGGUUAAAAAAAGAGAGUAAACUCUCAAUUAAAAGGAUAAUAAAAAAUAAAAAUGAAUACACGCGUGUAACCAGCAGUACACUCGUGUAAGUACAUCACUCAAAAGAGUCCGGUAUAUGGUUAGGACCGGAAGAGGCAGUUCCCGCCCCAAAAAAAAACACCCACGUACACACGUGUGGAAACACACCUCAAAGUAGCAUGUACAUACACACAAUCACAAUAGGGAGCCAUCUUACUCUCUUCUUCUUUUCUCCAUGGAGCGAACCUUCCUCUUUUUUUCUUCAUUAAUAAAUAUUCUCGUAGAGGUAGCUAGGGAGAAGUUGAAGCAAUAAUGGUGGGCAUGCAAGAUGGGGAGCUUCACUUGGUAUCUCACAUGAACUGCUCAAGCUUCAAAGCUUUUUGGUUUGGUCAGUUCCAAUAUAUAUUAUGCCGACCCCAUUGAUUUAAUUUCCAGCUCUACCUAAUUCUUUUCUUUCCCCCAACCCUAUGCAUGUCAUUGGUCCCACCAUCUACAUCUCUCAUCCCCUUUCACUCAAAUGUAGUGUAUUGAUUCAAUAAUCAAUGCUACCUUUGAAUUCAAUCACCUCCUAGGCCACUUCUUUCUUAAUUUCACACUCCAUGAUCACUCCACUAGUAUAGUUGUAUUAAAUAAUCAUAUCAAUCAAAAAACAAUUAAUCACACCAAAAAACCAUGUACCAAAAACUCCCUUCCCUUGGGAAUCUGCAAAGCCAAAAGCCAUAUAUGUCAACGAAUGGCACUGCACACCAAAUUUUUUUAAUAAAUCUCCAAACCCCAUCGCUCCUCUUAUAUAUAAUAAUCUGCAUCCAUCACCCGUGUCAAAUUAUUUUCUUUUCUUCUUUUUUUUAAUCUCAAGGCCCCCACCCCCACCCCCAAUUAUGUAUAGAGAGAGGAUUAGUAGACCUCAUGGACCACCAUUGUCAUCUUCUGUCUUAUUGUUUAUAAUUUUUAGUUCUUCAGUUUUUUCUAGCAACUUAAUCACAGCUUACUCCGUCAUAUAUCAUAUACCCACAAGCUGUUAUUUAAUCUCCUCCUUUUAGAAGAUGAUGAUGACGAUGAUGAUGAGGAGGAGGAGUCAACAGAAGAUGACUCGAUACUCGCCCGAGUCAUGACUCGGAGCUGUGGUAAGGCUUUUGAUGAUCGCUUCCUUGACCUAUUAUCAACCCCGAUUUCUUGCACUAGUCGGUAGCAGCUGAUGAUCUUCUCCUGAAAAAGUUAAGGGAUAUAUCGAUCGAUCUUUGAUUGUUCCCAAGUUGGCAUGAAUAUAAUUAUACAUAUAUAUAUCAUCCAAAAAUUAACCUGAAUGCAUGGGAAAUUAAAUAUAUAGCUAGAUGCUUACUUUUCGAAGUCCGUCACACCAUGAUUCAGCAUGAUCAGCAUUAAAAAGAGACAAGUUUGGAAUGUCGUUGGCUGCGCAAAGAAUCGUGGCAGCGGCUAUGCAUGAUGGCCAAUACUCCAGAAAACUAGCCUCUGUAUAUACACGCAUACAUGCAUGUUCAUAUGUCAUUUAGCAUUACAUUGAACGGCAUAUAUAUACCUACAUGUCUAUGCACAAUGCAUGCAUGUUAUGUUGUACGUUCGUAUGUAUCAUGUGAUAAUUAAUUACCUUGAAUAUUUGACAGAAUAAUUUCAGUGGCUCUUGAGAUAAGGAAGGUUGCAUAAAUUCCUUCAGAAUCAAGUUUGUAAGCAAAGAAGCUGAGAAAGCUAAAUGGUGUAAUGGAUCUUAGCCUCCAUUCCAGUAUACCAAGUACAAGAAACUCCAUCCGUCGG